UACGAAGGGGGCUAGCGUUGUUCGGAAUUACUGGGCGUAAAGCGCGCGUAGGCGGCUGAUUAAGUCGGAUGUGAAAUCCCCGGGCUCAACCUGGGAACUGCAUUCGAUACUGAUCGGCUAGAGUAUGAGAGAGGGAGGUAGAAUUCCACGUGUAGCGGUGAAAUGCGUAGAUAUGUGGAGGAAUACCGGUGGCGAAGGCGGCCUCCUGGCUUAAUACUGACGCUAAGGUGCGAAAGCGUGGGGAGCAAACAGG
rnacentral:rRNA from 1 species